rnacentral:rRNA from 1 species
UGACGGAGCGACGCCGCGUGAGCGAGGAAGGCCUUCGGGUCGUAAAGCUCUGUUGUCAGGGAAGAAGGCGCGCCGUUCGAAUAGGGCGGCGCGGUGACGGUACCUGACGAGGAAGCCCCGGCUAACUACGUGCCAGCAGCCGCGGUAAAACGUAGGGGGCGAGCGUUGUCCGGAAUUACUGGGCGUAAAGCGCGCGCAGGCGGUCCUUUAAGUCUGAUGUGAAAUUCCGCGGCUCAACCGCGGGUGUGCAUUGGAAACUGGGGGACUUGAGUGCGGAAGAGGGGAGCGGAAUUCCCGGUGUAGCGGUGAAAUGCGUAGAGAUCGGGAGGAACACCAGUGGCGAAGGCGGCUCUCUGGUCCGCAACUGACGCUGAGGCGCGAAAGCGUGGGGAGCGAACAGGAUUAGAUACCCUGGUAGUCCACGCCGUAAACGAUGAGUGCUAAGUGUUAGAGGGGAUUGACCCUUUAGUGCUGCAGCUAACGCAUUAAGCACUCCGCCUGGGGAGUACGGCCGCAAGGCUGAAACUCAAAG